rnacentral:rRNA from 1 species
UGGGGAAUAUUGCACAAUGGGGAAAACCCUGAUGCAGCGACGCCGCGUGAACGAAGAAGGUAUUCGUAUCGUAAAGUUCUGUCCUAUGGGAAGAUAAUGACAGUACCAUAGAAGAAAGCUCCGGCUAAAUACGUGCCAGCAGCCGCGGUAAUACGUAUGGAGCGAGCGUUGUCCGGAAUUAUUGGGCGUAAAGGGUACGCAGGCGGUUUAAUAAGUCGAAUGUUAAAGAUCGGGGCUCAACCCCGCAAAGCAUUGGAAACUGAUAAACUUGAGUAGUGGAGAGGAAAGUGGAAUUCCUAGUGUAGUGGUGAAAUACGUAGAUAUUAGGAGGAAUACCAGUAGCGAAGGCGACUUUCUGGACACAAACUGACGCUGAGGUACGAAAGCGUGGGGAGCAAACAGG